GGGGAUAAAUUAAUAAAAUAAAAAUAAUAAAAAAAUUUUUAUUAAAAAUAUAUAAAUGGGGGUUUAAGUAUUUUUAAAGAAAAAAUUAUUAAUUUUAUAAAGAAUUAGUAUUGUUAAAGAAUUUUGAAAUAACUGAAAAAUAAUGGGGGUAAAAGUAAAUUUUAUUUAUUGUAUCUUGUGUAUCAGAGUUUAUUAAUUAAAAUUUAUAUGUAAAAUAUUCUCGAAUUUAAAAGAGAUAAUUAAUUAAUAAAGUUAUUGUGGGAAAAAUAUUUUAAAUAAUUAAUUUGAAAUGAGAUGUUAAUCGUUUUUAAAGAUAUCUAGUUUUUUUAGAAAAAAAUUUAAUUUUAUUUUCUUAUAAAGAAAAAUUAAUUAAUUAAUUUUUCUUUAUAAGAAAAUUAAUAUUUUAAGGGAUAAGCUUUAAAAUAAAUAAUUAUAAUAAACAUAAAAUUAAAGUGAAAUUUUUAGAAUUUAUAUUGUUAAUAAAUUAUAAUUUAUUAUAAAUAAUUUCAUUUAUAAAAAAAUUUUAUUAAAAUUUAAAUUAUUAUAAAAUUAUAAUUUAAAAUAAAAAAAAAUUAAAAAUAAUGAUAAAAUUAGUAUAUAAAAAUAUAUUAUUUAAAAAUUAAUGUAAUAAAAUAUAUGAAAAAUAAUAAAAAGGAAUUCGGCAAAUUUUAUAUUCACUUGUUUAUCAAAAACAUGUCUUUUUGAGUGAUAAUUUAAAGUCUAAUCUGCCCACUGAUAAUUUAUUGAAGGGCUGCAGUAUUUUGACUGUACAAAGGUAGCAUAAUCAUUAGUCUCUUAAUUGGUGACUUGUAUGAAGGAUUGGAUGAGAUAUAAACUGUCUCUUAUUUAUUUGUAGAAUUUAAUUUUUUAGUCAAAAAGCUAAAAUAAAUUUAAAAGACGAGAAGACCCUAUAGAGUUUAAUAAAUAAAUUUAUAAUAAAUUAUUUAUAAAAAUAAUUAAAUUAAAAUAAAUUAAUUUAUUUUGUUGGGGUGAUAUGAAAAUAAAUUUAACUUUUUUUAAUAAAUAACAUAGAUAAGUGAAUAAAUGAUCCAAAAUUUUUGAUUAUAAGAAAAAAUUACCUUAGGGAUAACAGCGUAAUUUUUUUUUUUAGUUCAAAUAAAAAAAAGAGUUUGCGACCUCGAUGUUGGAUUAAGAUAAAAUUUAAAUGCAAAAGUUUAAAAUUUUGAUCUGUUCGAUCAUUAAAAUCUUACAUGAUCUGAGUUCAAACCGGUGUAAGCCAGGUUGGUUUCUAUCUUUAGAAAAAAUAAAUAUUUUAGUACGAAAGGAUCAAAUAUUAAAAUUAAAUUUUUAAAUAAGAAUAUUAUUAAUUAAUUUAAAAUUUAGAAAUUAAAUAAGAAUAA
rnacentral:rRNA from 1 species